rnacentral:rRNA from 1 species
AUUGAACGCUGGCGGCAGGCUUAACACAUGCAAGUCGAGCGGGGUGAUGGUGCUUGCACUAUCACUUAGCGGCGGACGGGUGAGUAAUGCUUAGGAAUCUGCCUAUUAGUGGGGGACAACAUCUCGAAAGGGAUGCUAAUACCGCAUACGUCCUACGGGAGAGAGCAGGGGAUCACUUGUGACCUUGCGCUAAUAGAUGAGCCUAAGUCGGAUUAGCUAGUUGGUGGGGUAAAGGCCUACCAAGGCGACGAUCUGUAGCGGGUCUGAGAGGAUGAUCCGCCACACUGGGACUGAGACACGGCCCAGACUCCUACGGGAGGCAGCAGUGGGGAAUAUUGGACAAUGGGGGGAACCCUGAUCCAGCCAUGCCGCGUGUGUGAAGAUGGCCUUAUGGUUGUAAAGCACUUUAAGCGAGGAGGAGGCUCUUUUGGUUAAUACCCAAGAUGAGUGGACGUUACUCGCAGAAUAAGCACCGGCUAACUCUGUGCCAGCCGCCGCCGUAA